UGAGGAUAUACUCACUGGCAAAAGCACAGAGGAUAAAUGAAAGGACUUUAAAUAAAUUCUAGAAAAGUACAUUUCAUAAUGCAUACCAUUGGGAAACAAAUAUGAAAGAAGCAAAUUAGAAUGUGACUUAGUAAAAGGGUCAAAUGACAUUUAAAACAUAUAAAUCAAAUUGGUCAAUUGUAUCCUAUAACAAAUAUAAACGUGGCA